GAAUGUUAUGCUUUAUUCCCAGAUACUGGGUUUUAUAUUAAGUUAGUGUCAGGAAAGCAUAAGAGACAAUGUCCUGGAAUCUUAUUUUGACUCACAGAAUUUGGGAAAAGAGGUCCUGAAAUAAUGUUGCUAAUAUGUGUACUCCAAAGUAGCUUUGGUCCUGCUGAUCUAAGGCUGAAACUGAGUUUUCCAGAAGGCUAUUCACCUGUCACCAGUUCCUUCUGCUUUCUCAGAUCCUAGGUCCCUUGGACAGCAUGACCGGGUCUCUGAGCUGGACUGGAGGCUCUUCUAGGCUCUGACAGAACCAUUCCUAGGAUCCUGCCCAAAUCUUGAUGUGCCAAGCUGACACGGCCCUGCGAGCAUUCCCUGUCCUCAUCAGAUUUGGAGAAGUCCCAGUGGCUCAAGAAAUAAAAGAACCCACCUGCAGUGCACCAGACACCCGAGAAGUGGGUUUGACCCCUGGGUCAGGAAGAUCCCCUGGAGGAGGAAAUGGCAACCCCCUCCAGUCCAUGGAAAUCCCAUGGACAGAGGAGCCUAGGGUGCUACAGUCCACGGGUUCCCAAAGAGGUGAACACGACCAAGCACGCAUGUGCACAACAAAUUCCAGAUCUAGCCAGCUCCAGGGUUACCAGAGGGCCCAAGAGUUGACUCUUUAGAGCUAUGGGGCCUCAUCUCCCUGAAGUGGUUAGAGCAGCACCUUUUGAUGUUGCCAGGACAUCUCGGUCUUUCCAGGGACAUAAGAAUUCCUUCAGUCUCUGCUGAGGAGAGCUCUGAGCCCCGCCUGCAGACUUGGGGGCCGGGGAGCAGGAGUGGGGCUCCUGUGACAGAGCAGGAAGUCACUGCUCCAGGACAGUGAGCCGAGGAGAGGCAGAGGGUUGGCCUUGUUGGGGGGCGGGGGCGGGUAGCGGGGGAACAAGAAGAGGAAGUCAGCAGAGGGAAAGACCACGCUUUGAGCAAGGGUGACACACCCAGUAUUGUACUAGCCCUUUUGCAUAUAUUUUCUCUUUCAUAUCUGGAAUUACGUUUUUUAAUUAGAAAAGAAAUACACAAAUGGUAUACAACAUAAGAAGCAAAACUCUCCCCUGGAGUUCCAUGGUCCAUGGAACAAUCAGUGUUAACAAUUUGGUUAAAAACAAAAUAGCAGGGACUUCCCUAGUGGUCCAGUGGCUAAGACUCUGCACACCCAAUGCAGGAAGCCCGGGUUCUACCCCUGGUCAGGGAACUGGAUCCCACGUGCUGCAACUAAGACCCAGGGCAGCCAAAUAAAUAAAUAUUUACAAAUAAAAAAUGGCAUGUGACAAGUAAACAAAGUAGAUCUUUUUUCACUGAUAAUGAAGUAAUUUGAACCAAUCUUUUCGCUAAAGACAAUUAAAAUAUCUGGAUUAAGGAUUUUUCAAAAAUUUCACUUGAAAUAUCAAAAAGGCUAACAGGAUCAUGAGGCUUAUUGAGC
rnacentral:lncRNA from 1 species